rnacentral:rRNA from 1 species
AUUGAACGCUGGCGGCAGGCCUAACACAUGCAAGUCGAGUGAGCGGCGGACGGGUGAGUAAUGUCUGGGAAACUGCCUGAUGGAGGGGGAUAACUACUGGAAACGGUAGCUAAUACCGCAUACCAUCUGAUGUGCCCAGAUGGGGUUAGGUAGUAGGUGGGGUAAUGGCUCACCUAGGCGACGAUCCCUGGCUGGUCUGAGAGGAUGACCAGCCACACUGGAACUGAGACACGGUCCAUACUCCUACGGGAGGCAGCAGUGGGGAAUAUUGCACAAUGGGCGCAAGCCUGAUGCAGCCAUGCCGCGUGUAUGAAGAAGGCCUUCGGGGUGUAAAGUACUUUCAGCGAGGAGGCGUUACUCGCAGAAGAAGCACCGGCUAACUCCGUGCCAGCAGCCGCGGUAAUUC